rnacentral:rRNA from 1 species
CAGCCGCCGCGGUAAUACAGAGGGUGCAAGCGUUAAUCGGAAUUACUGGGCGUAAGGCGCGCGUAGGUGGUUUGUUAAGUUGGAUGUGAAAUCCCCGGGCUCAACCUGGGAACUGCAUUCAAAACUGACUGACUAGAGUAUGGUAGAGGGUGGUGGAAUUUCCUGUGUAGCGGUGAAAUGCGUAGAUAUAGGAAGGAACACCAGUGGCGAAGGCGACCACCUGGACUAAUACUGACACUGAGGUGCGAAAGCGUGGGGAGCAAACAGGAUUAGAUACCCGAGUAGUCCCUGUCUCUUAUAC